rnacentral:rRNA from 1 species
GUAGACGGCCAUAGUAUCUUGGUUACACCCGAUCCCGUUCCGAACUCGGAAGUUAAGCUUGAUGCGUUCGUGUUUGUACUGUCUCUGAUGGGAAGGCACGGAGCUGUCUAUU